AUGAGAAGACCUCAGUGACCACAAAGAACAGAACUCCUGCCUAGGUUGGUUACAGCCUAAAUUACCAUCCCUGUGGCUCCCACUCACAACCUUCUUGACUUAUAGAGCAAGAAACCAAUAAGAGCUCCCAAAAGGAGAGAGAUGUUACCUCCUCCUUCUAUAUCUCCCACAGACAGGCAGGCUCCCAUAAAUUCAACUCCAUCUUUAUCUCCUAUAGGUCUCUAUCAUAGACCCUCCACCCUGCCAGCCCUUUCUGUGCUGGCACCAUCAACCCUGGUUUUGCAAUUCUACCCCCUCCAUCUAGGAUGUCUCUCCUCCUCUAUUCUGCCUAUCCAUCAUUCAAGGCCUAGUUGAAGCUCUGCUUCCUCCUUGAAGCUUUCAUUCUUCAUCCAGGUCCAUGGGGUGCCAUCUCUGCCAUCACGACCUGGGACCCCAUUAUGGCCUGGAUGCCCUGGGAUGCCUGCCAUCCAACCUGUGCAGGCCCCCUUGGGCAGAGGAAGCAGGACUCCGGGCCCUUGAGUUGUGGUAUCCUGGCCAUGACUGGGCAGAGCUAAUAGCAGUAGAACAGCUCCCAGCAACAUCCUGAGUCCUGGAAUCCACAUGUGCACUGUCAGCCAUGGAGAGACAGACCCCACACAGCACACCCAGUUGAUACCUACACAGGACUCCAUCCACCUCAGCAGAGUCCACUUCAAGGAGCUGCUUUCUCAGUAUUCAACUCUUUCAGGAAGACUUUUCUGAAUAUUGCAGCCCACCUUGAUCUCUUUCUGCCCCCAAAUUUGUAAUACUUAACAUUAUUCCUGUGUGUAGUCUCCUUUCCUCACCAAGAUUAUGAAUUCAGUGAUUGCACAGAUGACACUCCUCUAAUUUUUCCAUAUCUGAGCACAGGAACAAGCACAGGGAAAGCUCCAAGAGUCAACUUGCCAAGAAUCCAUCCUUGAGUUUCCCAAGUACGAUGACACCGAUUGCUCCAAUCAGUGCUAACCAGCUUCUCUCCCCUGGCUCCUUUCUUCUUUUCCUUUCCCCUCUUUUCUCUCAUUUUCUGUGUCUAUUCCUCCUUCUUACUCUCUCAUUCUUUCUUCCUCUACCCUUCUCCUGGGGCACAUGUUUGACCAUUUGGUAUAUUACAUUUGCACACACACACACACACACAUACACAGAGAGAGAGAGAGAGAGACUCACCUUGAGUUAAACAGACAAGAGACACAUCAUCCCAUGAACAUAUCCGCUGGCCCUUUGUUUGCCUGGGCCACCUUUAGCUGCCCCUCCUCUCCUGUCUAAUCUCUAUUCAGGACCCAGUUCAGAUGUCAUCUCUUUCAGGAAGUCCUCCUUCUUCUCCAUCUCACUCCUUGGUUUGUUCUUUCACCUCUGUGUUUCUCCAGUGCCCUGGUAAUAUGGUUUGGGUCUGUGUCCACACCCAAAUAUCAUGUCGACAUGUGUUGGAGAAGGGGCCUGGUGGGAGGCGAUGGAAUCAUGGAGGCUGACUUCUCCCUUGCUGUUCUCAUGAUAGUAGGUGAAUUCUCACAAGAUCUGGUUGAAAGUGUGUAGCACUUCCCCUAUAUGUGCUCUCUCUCUCUCUCCUCUCUCUCACUCUCUCUCCUGCCGCCAUAUAAUGUGCUUGCUUCCCCUUCGCUCUUCCACCAUGAUUGUAAGUUAUCUGAGGGCUCCCCAGCCAUGCCCACUGUACCACCUAUGGAACUGUGAGUCAAUUAAACCUCUUUUCUUUAUAAA